rnacentral:lncRNA from 1 species
AAGUCUAACAAUAAGUAACAACUACCUCGUUUACCACCAGAGUUGGCAUAGUGAUUCAUCGCUAUGUCCCUUAAGCAAGAGGUCGGGGGUUUGAUCCCCGCCUCUGGUGAAUGGAGCAAACUCUGUGGACAGUUUCCUAUCGCAAAAUACGCUGACCGAGGAACGAAGGAUUAGUUUCACAGCUGCCAGCUGUGGGGAUACCUUGGGCAACCAAAAAAAAA